rnacentral:rRNA from 1 species
UACGAAGGGGGCUAGCGUUGCUCGGAAUCACUGGGCGUAAAGCGCACGUAGGCGGCUUCUUAAGUCAGGGGUGAAAUCCUGGAGCUCAACUCCAGAACUGCCUUUGAUACUGAGGAGCUUGAGUCCGGGAGAGGUGAGUGGAACUGCGAGUGUAGAGGUGAAAUUCGUAGAUAUUCGCAAGAACACCAGUGGCGAAAGGCGGCU